GGGGUAUAGCUCAGCUGGUAGAGCACCUGCUUUGCAAGCAGGGGGUCAGCGGUUCGAAUCCGCUUAUCUCC
rnacentral:tRNA from 2 species